UACGGAGGGUGCAAGCGUUAAUCGGAAUUACUGGGCGUAAAGCGUGCGUAGACGGCUAUCUAAGUCGGGUGUGAAAGCCCCGGGCUCAACCUGGGAAUUGCAUUCGAGACUGAAUAGCUAGGGUACGGUAGAGGGAAGUGGAAUUUCCGGUGUAGCGGUGAAAUGCGUAGAUAUCGGAAGGAACAUCAGUGGCGAAAGCGACUUCCUGGACCAGUACCGACGUUCAGGCACGAAAGCGUGGGGAGCGAACAGG
rnacentral:rRNA from 1 species